GGCUUUUAAUGUUAACCAGACACCUGUUUUGUGUAAUCAACACUUAUCAGUGACUCAAAUCGAAAUAUUAGUUAGGCAAAAAAAAAAUCUAGAGCAUAAGACAAAAUGAUAUUUGAUAUAAGUGCCAAUAAGACAAUGUAAUAGUUAUGUAAUUUAUGACACAGGUAUUGACUCACUCAAGAGAAAAAAACAGACAAAUAGAGGAUGUAAAGCAAAGAAGACUGAACAUGGAAGAAUCAUGUCAUAUUCUGGAAGAUAAAUGGAAACAUCCUUGGCUGAAAAAAAUAGUUUAAAGCAACAGGUAACAAUUUAACUAGAUAAAAGUGAUCUUGUUCAUGUAUUUUUUUGCAUGUUAACUUUUUAUACAUUGUGAUUUGGAUGGAGAAGUGUCUCAUUGGCACGCAUACCACAUCUUAUUUAUAUUUGAAUACUUUCAUCAAACUUUUAUUGAAAAAGUCACCUUUAAAAAAAAAAUAGUGAUAAAAACAUUAAAAAAAAAACAAUUGAGACAUGAUGACAAAGCUAUACAUUUUGUAUGAAGCCAUUCUUAGAUUGCGUGCACGAUCAACGGUUUGACAAGCCUAUUAUAUUGCUCAAAGACCAUUCAAUUCUUAUAAUUACAUAUUUUUGCUAGGAUGAAGGAAAAAACAAUCUCUAUCAUUUUUUUGUAUAUAUUUACCUGUACAUAUAAAGCAUGUGCUAUCAUGGGUGUUACAUAUCAUUGUGCUAUGAAGAAUGACGUGAGAUUGUUGUUAGCCAAUCAAAAUAACAGAUUUAUAUGUUGAAAUAUACUAGUACUGUAAUGUAAUUAUUUGGAUUAAAAUUAAAGGGGUGUUUUUUUUACCUGCGUCACCAACGGUGAAAGCAGGUCUAGUAACCGCUCGACUCCGUCCGUCAUUCCGUCCGUCCGAAAGACUUGCAUAUCAACUUUAGUCAAAGAUUUCUUGGCUUCUAUGAAAGGGAAUGAUUUUAUAUUUGGUCCAGAGCUUGAUCAUGUUGAGUUGUAAAGUGUAAGCAAUUUUUAGAUCUGCGAUGCAGCCACUUCCUGUUUGCUGAUAGUUCUAAUUUUACUCAGUGUACAUUUUUAAGUCAAAGUUUUCUUGGCUUCUAUGAAAGGGAAAAGAGCUUGAUCAUGUUGAGUUGUAGUGUGUAUUUUAAGAUUUUGCAGCCACUUCCUGUUUGUCGAUAGUUUGAAAUUUAGCUACUCAAUGUACAAGGAAAAUUUUCGUCAAAGUUUUCUUGGCUUCUAUGAAAGGGAAUGAUUUUAUAUUUGGUCAGAGCUUGAUCAUGUUGAGUUGUAAAGUGUAAGCAAUUUUUAGAUCUGCGAUGCAGCCACUUCCUGUUUGCUGAUAGUUUGAAAUUUAGCUACUCAGUGUACAAGGAAAAUUUUUCGUCAAAGUUUUCUUGGCUUCUAUGAAAGGGAAUGAUUUUAUAUUUGGUCCAGAGCUUGAUCAUGUUGAGUUGUAGUGUGUAAGCAAUUUUAAGAUUUGCGGUGCAGCCACUUCCUGUUUGCCGAUAGUUUGAAAUUUAGCUACUCAAUGUACAAGGAAAAUUUUUCGUCAAAGUUUUCUUGGCUUCUAUGAAAGGGAAUGAUUUUAUAUUUGGAACAGAGCUUGACUAUGUUGAGUUGUAGGGUGUAAGAAAUUUAAAGAUCUGUGGUGCAGCCACUUCCUGUUUGCCGAAAGUUUGAAAUUUAGCCACUUAUUGUACAAGGAAAAUUUUUAGACAAAAUUUUUUGGUUUCUAUUGAAGGAAUUGUUUUAGAUUUUCUGUAGAGCAAAUAUAUGCAGUGACGCAGGUCCAGACCAGUAUUGGUCUUGAAUGCUGGAUACUAUCCAUGCAUGUCUGUGUCCACACAGUAAAUUAAUUAUAAAUUUCCGGAUCUGCAUUAUUCAUCAUACGUAGCUGUUAUAGUUUUAAAUGAUAAAAGCAAACAGUUUUACAAUUUUUUUUCUAAUUAUUCAUUUGACAAUAUAUAGUUUUCUUAUUAUUUCAGUGAGACGUUUCAAUAUUUCAUCACAUGAACACUGGGACAUCUAUAGAAACAAGUGGGAC
rnacentral:lncRNA from 1 species